CAUAACAUAUAUCUGCUGCUUGCCUCAGAAUACUAAUAGUAUUGCUGAAGAAAUCAUCCUUGGUAUUCUCAACAAUAUAAGGGACUGCUGCCUGAAUAAAAGUUGCAGGAUCUGUUGAGAUAUUGAGAUAAUUCUCAAUCCCCAGCCCAAUCUCAGUUUCUUUUAGAAUGCUGUUGGGACCACUCGUCACAAGCCAACCCAUUCUCCAACCCGGCACA
rnacentral:misc_RNA from 1 species